UCCGGUGGUAACAGGGCCCUCACACAGACCCGCACUGACCUGGAAAAGCUUCGGGAGCGAGCGGCGACGGGGGAGCGGCGGGAGAUCCCGGUAACUGCUCGCUGGAUCCCUUUGCAGUGCCGUCACUUCAGAAGGCCUAGCCCUUGAAGACUGACGCUACCCAAGGCUCAAC